GGGGUUUGCUGUGCAAGCUGUCGCCCGGCGCCGCGGUGCCGGGUCGGACCAGCCUGUCCCCUUGCAGCUGCCCGCGGCCCCCAGACGUGCUUUGUCGAGCAGUUGCGCCGCGGCGGUUUGCCGUGUUUUGUGCUAACUCUGUCACACCGCUCCUAUUUUUAGCGCUGAGGAAUACAACUGCCUCUCCUCUGCACCGCGAGCAGCAGCCCGGGCUUCCGUGCACAACGGCACGCACGUUGCAAGGGCUUUUAUUUCCCCGACGGGCAUACUGAAGUGGAACGUCUGAUCACUGGGAUAAACACUUCCCAAGAUAAAGUCAUUUUGCCUUUGAUUAAUAAAGAACAUCCUGAGAAAAGAAUUGGAACUGUG
rnacentral:lncRNA from 1 species